UCCCUGUCUACAUGUCUCCCCUGUCUCCCCUGUCUCCCCUGUCUCCCUGUCUACCCUGUCUACCUGUCUCCCCUGUCUAUCUGACUCCCCUGUCUAUCUGACUCCCAUGUCUACCUGUCACCCUUGUCUACCUGUCUGUCUGUCUCCCCGUCUAUCUGCCUCCCUUGAGGUCUACCUGUCUACCUGUCUCCAUGUCUACCUGUCUUCCCUGUCUACCUGUCUCCAUGUCUACCUGUCUGUCCUUCUGUCUGUCUACCUGUCUGUCUGUCUACCUGUCUGUCUGUCUACCUGUCUCCCAUCUACAUCUCUUGCUGAUACACAUAAGGACUAAAAUCAAUGGAGGCAGGAUGAAGAAUGGAUCAUGUUAAUAGAUAUUGGUGUUAAAUUCAGGACUUGGUUAUAUCUGUAUCCUGACCAACUGGCUUUCAGAGUAAAUCUCUGACUUCAGUUGUUGCAUUUAAAAAGGCCAAAAAGUGAAUUAGUAGACAACCAGGGAUCCAGAGAGCUUAGCAGUGACACCAGAACCACCAAAUAAACGGUGUUAUUAACAUUACAAUCUAUGUUAUUACUAUGUUAUUACAAUGUCUCUUAUUGGAAUUGGAGUUGCCAAGUGUUUGAUAAUGAUAUUGUAGUUCUUAUUCUCUAGUUGACUAUGUUGUUGCCUCAGACGUCACUAUAAAGACAAGAUCCUCUCUCUUUGGGGAAGUGCCUUGAUAUUAGACCUGUUGUGACAUCAUCCUCUCUAGCAGGCAAAAGUGUCUCAAAGGGCACCCUGUUCACUAUGUAGUAUGAAACAUAGCAGGUUAUGAAGACAAUCCUGUUCACUAUGUAGUAUGAAACAUAGCAGGGUUCUAAAGACAACCCUGUUCACUAUGUAGUAUGAAACAUAGCAGGUUAUAAAGACAACCCUGUUCACUAUGUAGUAUGAAACAUAGCAGGGUUCUAAAGACAACCCUGUUCACUAUGUAGUAUGAAACAUAGCAGGUUAUAAAGACAAUCCUAUUCACUAUGUAGUAUGAAACAUAGCAGGGUUCUAAAGACAACCCUGUUCACUAUGUAGUAUAAAACAUAGCAGGGUUCUAAAGACAACCCUGUUCACUAUGUAGUAUGAAACAUAGCAGGGUUCUAAAGACAACCCUGUUCACUAUGUAGUAUGAAACAUAGCAGGUUAUAAAGACAACCCUGUUCACUAUGUAGUAUGAAACAUAGCAGGGUUCUAAAGACAACCCUGUUCACUAUGUAUUAUGAAACAUAGCAGGGAUCUAAAGACAACCCUGUUCACUAUGUAGUAUGAAACAUAGCAGGGUCCUAAAGACAACCCUGUUCACUAUGUAGUAUGAAACAUAGCAGGGUUCUAAAGACAACCCUGUUCACUAUGUAGUAUGAAACAUAGCAGGUUAUAAAGACAAUCCUGUUCACUAUGUAGUAUGAAACAUAGCAGGGUUCUAAAGACAACCCUGUUCACUAUGUAGUAUGAAACAUAGCAGGGUUCUAAAGACAACCCUGUUCACUAUGUAGUAUGAAACAUAGCAGGGUUCUAAAGACAACCCUGUUCACUAUGUAUUAUGAAACAUAGCAGGGUUCUAAAGACAACCCUGUUCACUAUGUAGUAUGAAACAUAGCAGGGUUCUAAAGACAACCCUGUUCACUAUGUAGUAUGAAACAUAGCAGGGUUCUACAGACAACCCUGUUCACUAUGUAGUAUUAAACAUAGCAGGGUUCUAAAGACAACCCUGUUCACUAUGUAGUAUGAAACAUAGCAGGGUUCUAAAGACAACCCUGUUCACUAUGUAGUAUGAAACAUAGCAGGGUUCUAAAGACAACCCUGUUCACUAUGUAUUAUGAAACAUAGCAGGGUUCUAAAGACAACCAUGUUCACUAUGUAGUAUGAAACAUAGCAGGUUAUAAAGACAACCCUGUUCACUAUGUAUUAUGAAACAUAGCAGGGUUCUAAAGACAACCCUGUUCACUAUGUAGUAGGAAACAUAGCAGGGUUCUAAAGACCGACCUGUUCACUAUGUAUUAUGAAACAUAGCAGGGUUCUAAAGACAACCCUGUUCAAUAUGUAGUAUGAAACAUAGCAGGGUUCUAAAGACAACCCUGUUCACUAUGAAGUAUGAAACAUUGUAGGGUUCUAAAGACAAUCCUGUUCACUAUGUAGUAGAAACCAGUAGGGUUCUAAAGAGUGCCCUGUUCACUAUGUAGUAGGAAACAGUAGUGUUCUAAAGACAACCCUGUUCACUAUGUAGUAUGAAACACAGUAGGGUUCUAAAGACAACCCUGUUCACUAUGUAGUAUGAAACAUAGCAGGGUUCUAAAGACAACCCUGUUCACUAUGUAGUAUGAAACAUAGCAGGGUUCUAAAGACAACCCUGUUCACUAUGUAGUAUGAAACAUAGUAGGGUUCUAAAGACAACCCUGUUCACUAUUUAGUAUCAAACAGUAGGGUUCUAAAGACAACCCUGUUCUCUAUGUACUAAAAACAUAAGAGAGUUCUAACUGGAACCCUGCUGACUAUGUAGUAGGAAAUAUAGUAUGGUUCUAAAGGGAACCCGGCUCACUAUGUAGUAGGAAACAUAGUAUGGUUCUAAAGGGAACCCUGUUCACUAUGUAGUGAGAAACAUAGUAUGGUUCUAAAGAAAUGAAGUGAAAAACUAUAUAGGAAAUAGUGUGCAGGGACCGUAGUUGUAGUCAGAAGUAUGAUAUGAGGAAUAGGGAGGCAACAUUGUGCACUAUAAUGAACAGGGUGCCAUCAGGUUCUGGUGAUAAGUAGUGAACUUUCUAAUAGUGAACAGGGUGCCAUCAGGUUCUGGUGAUAAGUAGUGAACUCUCUAAUAGUGAACAGGGUACCAUCAGGUUCUGGUGAUAAGUAGUGAACUCUCUAAUAGUGAACAGAGUGCCAUCAGGUUCUGGUGAUAAGUAGUGAACUGUCUAAUAGUGAACAGGGUGCCAUCAGGUUCUGGUGAUAAGUAGUGAACUCUCUAAUGGUGAACAGAGUGCCAUCAGGUUCUGGUGAUAAGUAGUGAACUGUCUAAUAGUGAACAGGGUGCCAGGCUAACUCUUGCCAUAUAGAUGUGACAGUGUAACUAAAGGCUAUAGAAUCAAUUAAGUUCAGCUCCACAAAUUACCCUUAAGUUGAGCAGCAACUCCUGCUAGUAGACUGAAGCUCAGGUGCAUUGACACUGGAAAAUGCCAGGUCACAGUGUGGAGAUUCUGUGGUGCUAAAAUCCUUUAACAUCAGUGCCAGUCUACAAACAACUACGGUAACUAUUACAACUGGUGGAUUUGAGUUAAAUUGUCCAUUAUAUAUUGGUCAUUAUAGCAGUGGGAUCUCACUUUUCUUAAGGUUAAGUUACCCUCCACCUACAUGUAUUCUUAUGUGUGAGGAAGGAGAUAUGUCUUGAGUUACAAAGACAGACAGAGAGAGAUAGACUGACAGGCAGAGACAGACAGAGAGACAGAGACAGAGCGAGACAAACACUGCACUAUAAAGGGAAUAAAGGGUCACUAUAAAGGGAAUAGGGGGUUAUUUGAGACUUCGAUAUAAGCUGUCUCUAGUCCUCACAGUCCCCCAACAUAUCAUGCUUCUUGGCGGUAAGAGCCUAUACUGGAUCUAAGACAGCCUUUUUCAACCUUCUCCUAGUGGGGACACAGUCCAACCUUCUCCUACUGGGGACACAGUCCAACCUUCUAGUGGGGACACAGUCCAGUCUUCUCCUAGUGGGGACACAGUCCAACCUUCUCCUAGUGGGGACACAGUCCAACCUUCUCCUACUGGGGACACAGUCCAACCUUCUAGUGGGGACACAGUCCAGUCUUCUCCUAGUGGGGACACAGUCCAACCUUCUAGUGGGGACACAGUCCAGUCUUCUCCUAGUGGGGACACAGUCCAACCUUCUCCUAGUGGGGACACAGUCCAAACUUCUCCUAGGGGGACACAGUCCAACCUUCUAGUGGGGACACAGUCCAGUCUUCUCCUAGUGGGGACACAGUCCAAUCUUCUCCUAGGGGGACACAGUCCAAACUUCUAGUGGGGACACAGUCCAGUCUUCUCCUAGUGGGGACACAGUCCAACCUUCUAGUGGGGACACAGUCCAGUCUUCUCCUAGUGGGGACACAGUCCAACCUUCUCCUAGUGGUGACACAGUCCAAUCUUCUCCUAGUGGGGACACAGUCCAAUCUUCUCCUAGUGGGGACACAGUCCACCAUUUUUUCCAUCCCUGCACUGAAACUCCUGAUUCAACCUCUCACCUCACCACAGAGCCCUAGGUCAGCUGACUCAGGGGGUGGGUAUACCAGGAUCUGAAUGGAAAUAUAAGAACAUUAAACUGUUCAGGUUGCAAAAGGUUUUCAUGUAUUAACUACACCCUGGGUGUUGUAGAAAAUACCAGCUUAUAACCAAUAAGUGUAUAGUCAGAGGGUUGAAAACAACAUAAAUGGCACCCAAUGUUCUAGUGUCUAUGGUCUCUACAUAUAUAUCCUGUUCAGUAGGUCAGGGGGAGGAUGUCCUGGAUGGAGGUGACAGAUUGAACAUAGAUCAGAAUCGAUCAAUCCCAAUCUAAGCCUCUGGUUUGGAGAUACUGCCAAUACAUGUUCAUCCUUUCAUUCAUAUAUCAACUGUGUUCUUCUGCGUUGAGUUUACUAAAGGAUACCUUUUAAAAAGAAAUAACGUGAAUGUUUACAGUAUAUACUGUAUUUUAUGGUUUAGUAUUUUUUUUCUCCUGUUUUAUUCAAAGGAAAUGUGGCAUUUUGAUUCUUUAAAAUGAAAUAAAGCACAAUAAUUUUA